UGGCGGCCAUAGAGAUUUGGAACCACCCGAUCCCAUCCCGAACUCGGAAGUGAAACAGAUCAUCGCCGAUGGUAGUGUGGGGCUUCCCCAUGCGAGAGUAGGUCAUCGCCAG
rnacentral:rRNA from 1 species